rnacentral:rRNA from 1 species
UGGUCCUAGUGAUCUGAUUACCUUUCAUAAUUUUCAUAUAGAAUGAUAAUUAUUUAAAAGUG